rnacentral:rRNA from 1 species
GGAGGAUCAUUAUCGUAGGGCUUCGGCCCUGUCGAGAUAGAACCCUUGCCUUUUUGAGUACCUUUCGUUUCCUCGGCAGGCUCGCCUGCCAAUGGGGACCACAAAAAACACUUUGCAGUACCUGUAACAGUCUGAACAAACAAAACAAAAAUUAAAACUUUCAACAACGGAUCUCUUGGUUCUGGCAUCGAUGAAGAACGCAGCGAAAUGCGAUAAGUAGUGUGAAUUGCAGAAUUCAGUGAAUCAUCGAAUCUUUGAACGCACAUUGCGCCCUUUGGUAUUCCUUAGGGCAUGCCUGUUCGAGCGUCAUUUAAACCUUCAAGCUAAGCAUGGUGUUGGGUGACUGUCCGCUUCACUGCGGACUCGCCUCAAAAUUAUUGGCGGCCGGUACAUUGGCUUCGAGCGCAGCAGAAACGCGAACUCGGGCCCGUCGUAUUGGCUCCCAGAAGCUAUCUUCACAAUUUUGACCUCGGAUCAGGUAGGGAUACCCGCUGAACUUAAGCAUAUCAAUAAGCGGAGGA